CUUUAUUGUAAUUUAACGAGCUAACCCCAUGUUAGCUCGGGUCUUUCACCCACCCGCCAUGGCGGACAGCUAGAAAAAGACGGCUCCUAAGGUCUCCCCAAAGAUCUUAUAGGGCAGCGUAAGGGGAGUGUCUAGGGGUACGCACAGGCUUACGAUUGGUGUGCCUCCAGGCUUGGAGGGCUUGCCCUGUGUUGAUUGGUCAACUGGUUGUUAUGGCUCAUAGGCCCUCCCAGGGUGGUUGCUAUGCUCUCUACGUCAUUGCUGUGCGCUUGUCCGUAAAGCACACCCAGAGCCAUAAAGCAUAGCACCACCAGCUAACUUCUGAUUGGUUCCUUGUCACAAGACAGGCAUCUGACUUUCUGGUUUCUAGGACAAGGUCAUAGAAGCACAUGUUCAACCAUUAUGGCUGCCAAAAGGGAAGCCGGUUCCUUCAUUCCCCCAUUUUCUUUUCUGGAAAUUCCAAUCAUGGAAUUGCUGUCUCUCUAGCAUCUGACUUUCUGGUUUCUAGGACAAGGUCAUAGAAGCACAUGUUCAACCAUUAUGGCUGCCAAAAGGGAAGCCGGUUCCUUCAUUCUGACUUCCUCUGGCACCAGGCACAUAUGUCAUAAAUAGACAUACAUGCAAGCAAAACACUCAUACACAUAAAAUAAUAAAUCUAAAAAAUUAAAAGGAAAUAGAAAGAGGUACUAGAGAUUGAAGAGUUUAAAUUUUUAUUAUUAAUAAAAACUUGGGAGUUGUAUAUUGGGAUAAAAACCUGAUUGGUCAGAGAAGCAGCAACCAGUGACGACCUCUCUCCUUUCCCUAUCCAAAGGGCCCUGCCUACUACUUCCUUUGUUUCUCUAUAUGUAUCCUUGGUCCUCCAAAGUCUCCAUAGCUAAUUCUGGUCAGCCAGCCACUAACUCCACCCCAACUUAAAAUUAAGCUUUAUUAACAGUCUUAGAGUGUCACUGUGUAAUCAAAUAUUCCAAAAUAAGAGAAGGCUCAGCAGUUAAGAGCACUGGCUGAUCUUACACAGAACCUGAAUUCAGUUCCCAGAAUCCUCACAAAGGCUCACAACCAUCUGUAACUCCAGCUCCAGGUGAUCUGAACCUUGUUCUGGCCUCCUCAGGUAUUUCGCACAUGUGGUACUCAUACAUACAUGCAGACAAACACAUUCAUACAUAUAAAAUAAAAAUCCCCUUUUUAAAAAAAAAAAAAAAAAGAAAAGAAACCUGUUGGGGGUGGGAAUGAGCUUCACUUGGUAGAGUACUUGCCAAUCGCAUACAGAGCCCAUAUGUUUAACCCCAGCAUCACAUAAACUGGGUGUGGUAGCUAGCACACACCUGUAAUCCUAACACUUGGGAGAUAGAGGCAGGAGACCUCAGAAGUUUAAGGUCAUUUUCAGCUACAUAGCUAGUUUUGCAGCCAUCCUGAGAUUCAUGAGAUCCUGUCCCCAAAAGAAAGAAAGAAAAGUCAGGCAGAGUAGCACAUACCUAUAAUCCUAGUACAUAGAAGGCAGAGGCAGGCAGAUCUCUGUGAGUUCGAGGCCAGACUGAUCUACAGAGUAAGUCCCUGUCUCCAUGAGAGUGGGGGAGGGGGGAGAAAAGGAGGAGGAGAAGAAAGGAGACCCUGUAUCUAGCAACCAAAUGUAUCAGCAACAGGAGACAUGAAUUAGCAAGCACCAUGUCUUAACAGCUUCACCUAGACACAACCCAUGCCUCCAUCUCAUUGUGUAUUUUCUUCUGACCCCAUGAAAAACCUUCCUCUCUGUCCCUAUCUGGUUCUCUUCAGCUCCUGAGCUGGAUGUGUUUACCCUCGAUCUCCUCUUGCACUGUCACCACCAUAGCCAAGGUUGUGAAUGUGCCCUAGGGUUGAAUUUCCACAAACUUCAGUAAGUCAAAUCAGCUCCUUUGGGGAGUUACAAGGGGUGCUAUCAAUUUACCGUCUGUCUCCACUUAGGUGAAAACUUUGUGUCAGGGACUAUUAUCCAUGUCUAUCAUUGAUGCCCUGAUUCAUGACAGAUCAUGGGGCAGUGGUAAACUGCUCGGUUUCUCUUUCUUGGGGUGGAACCUCACUCUGCGAACGAGGCAGGGCAACAGCGAAGGGCAUCCCAAUAUUAGUGUACUAUACCUGAGGCAAACCCUUCCUAGAGUAGAGCCUCUGCGACUCACAGUGGCUUGGUGGAGGGACUGGAUACAGAAAGGAGCUAAUGCUGCAGUCCCAAAGACUCAAUCCUACUCCUCCCUUUCUUUGUAAAUAAGAUUUAUUGCAACACAGUCAUGGCCACUCAUUUGCUGUCAUCUGUGGCUGCUUUUGUGCUAACAGAGCAAGAGCAGAGCUGAGUAGUCAUCACAGAUGUCACUUCCUGGAAAACCUA
rnacentral:lncRNA from 1 species